rnacentral:lncRNA from 1 species
UUCCCUCCUCCUCCUGUCCCUUUCUCUCUCCCUCCACUACCCUUCCCUUCUUCAGAUGUUAGUCUAUCUAGAACAACACAUUUGGAUCUAAGCUGGACCUUUGAGAAAGAAAAGACUUCGAGGAAAGACACCUUUACAUAUGGUUUAAUUACCUUUUACCUCAAUUGUUUAAUACAAACUAUCCAACUAUAUCCAUCUUUUCUGCUUCUUGUAUAUUUCUUCUUUUGCUUGAACUGUUUCAGUAUUGACUAUUGAAUUACAUAGUCAUUCUGGAUUUUUAAAAAGAGAAUUCUAAUAAAACUUAUAUAUGUUGCUAA